rnacentral:rRNA from 1 species
GAGCGGGCCCUUCGGGGUCAGCGGCAGACGGGUGAGUAACACGUGGGAACGUACCCUUUGGUUCGGAAUAACGCUGGGAAACUAGCGCUAAUACCGGAUACGCCCUUUUGGGGAAAGGCUUGCUGCCGAAGGAUCGGCCCGCGUCUGAUUAGCUAGUUGGUGGGGUAAUGGCCUACCAAGGCGACGAUCAGUAGCUGGUCUGAGAGGAUGACCAGCCACACUGGGACUGAGACACGGCCCAGACUCCUACGGGAGGCAGCAGUGGGGAAUAUUGGACAAUGGGCGCAAGCCUGAUCCAGCCAUGCCGCGUGAGUGAUGAAGGCCUUAGGGUUGUAAAGCUCUUUUGUCCGGGACGAUAAUGACGGUACCGGAAGAAUAAGCCCCGGCUAACUUCGUG